rnacentral:tRNA from 1 species
GCGGCCAUGGCGGAACUGGUAGACGCGCUAGCUUGAGGUGCUAGUCCUGGAAACGGGGUGGAGGUUCGAGUCCUCUUGGCCGCACCA